CGAUUCCCCUGCCUCAGCCUCUCGAGUUGCUGGAACUACAGGCACGUGCCACCACGCUGAGCUAAUUUUUAUACUUUUAGUAGAGACGGAGUUUCACCAUGUUGGCCAGGAUGGUCUCAAUCUCUUGACCUCGUGAUCCACCUGCCUCGGCCUCCCAAAGUGCUGGGAUUACAGGCAUUAGCCAUGGCGCACAGCCUGGAACACUGUGCAACUGUGAAAAAAAUUAAUCUAUAGAGAGGAUAAUCACACAAGGUUAUACAAGUGGUUCAUAGAAGUGGAAAUUAUGGAACUGUGGAUGUGACAGAGCCAUUGCUGAAAAAUAUGUUUGUUGGCAGGCUCAUAAGCAGAAGGGACUCACCUUAUCUCAGAUAAGACGCUGGACUUGGACUUUUGUUAAUGCUGGAAUGAGUUAAGCCUUUGGGUUACUGUUGAGAAGGGAUAAUUGUAUUUUAAAAUGUGAGAAGGACAUGAGAUUUGGGAGGGGUCGGGGCAAAAUGAUAUUGUUUGUUUCUGUGUCCCCAACCAAAUCUCAUGUUGAAUUGUAAUCCCCAUGUGUCAGGGCUGGGACCUGGAGGGAGGAGAUCAGAUCAUGGGAGCAGAUUCCCCCAUGCUGCUCUUGUGAUAGUGAGUGAGUUUUCACAAGUUCUGAUGAUUUAAAAAUGUGGCACUUCCCCCGCUCUCUUCUGCUGCCUUGUGAAGAAGGUGCUUGCUUCUCCUUCACCUUCUGUCAUGAUUGUAAGUUUCCUGAGGCCACCCUAGCCAAGCAGAAAUGUGAGUCAAUUAAAUAUAUUUUCGUUAUAAAUUACCCAUUCUCAGAUAGUUCUUUAUAGCAGUGUGAAAACAGACUAAUGCAAUCAUUAUCAAGUAUUCUGUACUGUAUGUAAUUGAAUGUGACAUCACUUUUGUACAACUGGCAAUACAAUAAGCUUGAUUUCACUAACAUCACCACAAAAAUGUGAGUUUUUCAUUGUAUUGUGAUGUUACAAUGUCUACGAUGUCACUAGGCUAUAAGGACAUUUUAGGUCCAUUGAAAUCUUAUGGGGCCACCAUCGUAUAUGUGUUCAAUCACUAAUUGAACGUUUUUAUAUGGCAUAUGACUGUAUAGGUCAAACAUUAUCAAAUUGUAUACCUUAAAUAUGUGUAGUUUAUUGUAUUUCAAUUUUAUCUCAAUAAAACCACUUUAAAAUAUCCAUACUGUAAGGACUCAUCACCCCAUAACAAAACAAUGUUUCAAGAAUUAUGUAGAACAGUUUAUUUUUAAAAACCCACCAUCAUACAGAAAAAAAGAAAUCCAUACAGUAUAAAAAGAGUCUUCUCUCUUGAUCAUACUUAUGGCCAAGUUAUCAUCAGUUGUUUUUAUGGGGUACAUUUUUGUCUAAGUGUGCCACAUAUUAUGCUUACACAAAGAUAUCUGGUUUGUGGGACAACUCAUCUGUCCAUUUAUAGUUCUUAAUAAUCAUCUGCACUGUAACAAAAAGUAAUCCUAGUAAUGCUUAGUACAUUUCUCUUAAUAGUGAACAAAUGUCAACAAAAUUUACAUUCAAGGUAAUAUUGCUCCUUUGUCCUAUGGAAUAUGUACUGAGAAAAAAUAUGGAUUUCCAGCUAUCACCCUAUAUAAAUGAAAAGUUGUAGGCUCAUAAGUUAUUCAAAUUUCAAUUAUUCCCCCAUAAAAUAAAUGACUAGUCAUAAACAAAUUCAAAUAUUUAGCUCAAAUUUUUUGAUUACAUUAAUUUAUAUAAUAAAACACACCAAUUAAAAAUGAUUUUGGACAACAAAACUCGAGAUAGUCUUAAGCUAAAUAACAGAUUACAUUACUUUAUAUACAGCAUCUUCUUAUUUUUGUGAAUUUAUAUAUGUCAAAAUGAUGCACAGAUUAUUAUUCUGUAUCUAAUUAUGUAGUCUAAAUAUUUUAAAAUUUGGCUAAAAUACAGGAAAAAGUGACCAGUUUCUCAUAAAUGUGUUUAAUGUGUACUUCCUAAUAGCCUUGGUUUCUUAUAUUAUCAAAGCUCUUAUACAUCGACAAGUAGAUAAAUGUAGAACCCAGUAUACACUUAUAACAUGACUGCAGAGGGCCUAGAAAGUUGUCUCCUAUACUAAAAAUCAUGAAACAUAAUAAUAACAGCAACAGCAGUGGCAAAAACAUAUUGCUAUCUCCACAUCACCAACCUUCUAUCCACUAUGAAUUGUUCAUGUAACUUGAUUCUAUAGCAUUUACUUCUAUCAACAAGUAAUUAACAAAGAGGAAAAUUUUUCUCAUUUUAAAAUAAAAAUAAUUUUCAGAAGAGUUACAUGUCAUUAAAACAAUUGUAUAAUAUAGUUUAUCCAAUUACACUUAUUGAAACAUUUAGUGGGUACUCACUCUAUGCAUGCCACUAUGCUGGGGCCAGAGAUACGAGGAUAAAUAUGUUGCAUUUUUUGCCCUUAAAGUUAUUAUGAUCUUCUAUAGGAAAUAGAGAAAAAUUGAUCAAUUAUUAUAUACAGCAGCAGUCUCCAACCUUUUUGUCAUCAGGGACCAGUUUGUAGAAGAUAAUUUUUCCAUGGACCAAGGCAUAGAUGGUUUGGGGAUAAAACAGUGCCACCUCAGAUCAUCAGGCAUUAGAUUCUCAUAAGGAGUGUGCAACCUAGAUCCCGCACAUCUGUGGUUCACAAUAGUGUUGUUAGAGCUCCUAUGAGAAUCUAAUGCAGCUACUGAUCUGACAGGAGGCGGAGCUUAGGCGGUAAUGCUGUCUAACCCACUGCUCACCUCCCACUGUGUGGCCCAGUCACCAACUGGUACCAGGGGUUUAGGGACCCCUGAUAUAUGGCGUUUGCAAGUAGUAUAAAAAUACACAUGAUAGCCCUUUACCCAAGAUAGUGUGCUAGUGUGUGUGUGUGUGUGAGUGUGUGUGUGUAUGUGUGUGUGUGUGAGAGAGAGGAUAGAAUUAGAAAUGAGAACAGGUUCAGGGGAGGCCUCUUCAAGAAUAAGUGAGAUUGCUCUUGAAAUAAAUUUUGAAGGAUAACUAAGAGUUGAUGAAGCAAAGGAAGGUAGGCCAGUAUUCACAUGCUAGGAAACAACCCAUUUAGAGGCUCAAGGAAAGCUUGCACAUUCAGGAGCCUGCAAAUUGUUGACUAUGACUAGAAUGUAGAGUGUAAAGAAGAAAGUGGCAGUAGAGAGAAAUAAAGGUGAGAUGCAGAGAAUUAAAAUCAUCAUGACCUUGUAUUGUGUGUUAAAAAGUUAAGACAUCAUCCUGAUCAUAUUUUUUCCCUCUAAUAAUUUUAGCUAAGAGUAGUCAUUACGAAAAAGAAGACUUUUAUGACUUUUAUGGGGAGAAUGAGGACAGCACUAACAUUUAUUGAAGACCUGUUUUGUCUGAUGGUUAGGAAGAGUCUGACUCCAUGUUUUAUAUUUGACUGCACAGCAUUUAGGCUCCUACCCUGCCCUGCCCAAACACUAUAUAUCUGGUACUAUAGACAAAUAAACCUGCAUGCCUUUUGAGAUUUUGGGUCCUGUGGAAAUUUGAACUUCACAGCCCCAGACUGAAUGUGAGAACUCCUCUCCAGCCCCACUCUCUCGCCAUUACAAAAGUCAAACCAACUCUCUGCUCAUUGUUCUUGCCGUUCUAGCCAGAUCAGCUUGCAGUUACCUUGCUCUAUGUACAAUUUCCUGAUGUGAAUAAUAAACUCCUUGCAAAUUAUCAAGGUGUGUGAAGUGUCGUCAGUCUGGAUAUGUGGCCUAUUAACUG
rnacentral:lncRNA from 1 species